GCCUUGCCAGCCCGCUCAGAAACUCAAAGAAGUUAGACGGGGGCCCGCACAAGCGGAGGAGCAUGUGGUUUAAUUCGAUGAUACGCGAGGAACCUUACCUGGGCUCGAACGUAAGAUGACUGUAGGUGAAAGCUUACAUCUCUUCGGAGCAUUUUACGAGGUGCUGCAUGGUUGUCGUCAGCUCGUGCCGUGAGAUGUUGGGUUAAGUCCCGUAACGAGCGCAACCCUUGUCCUUAGUUACCAGCACGUUAUGGUGGGCACUCUAAGGAGACUGCCGGUGACAAACCGGAGGAAGGUGGGGAUGACGUCAAGUCAUCAUGGCCCUUACGGCCUGGGCUACACACGUGCUACAAUGGUCGGUACAAAGGGUUGCCAAGCCGCGAGGUGGAGCUAAUCCCAUAAAACCGAUCGUAGUCCGGAUCGCAGUCUGCAACUCGACUGCGUGAAGUCGGAAUCGCUAGUAAUCGUGAAUCAGAAUGUCACGGUGAAUACGUUCCCGGGCCUU
rnacentral:rRNA from 1 species